UCUUCUGAUGCUGACUACUGGCGAACGGGUGAGUAAUACAUCGAAACGUGCCUAUGGUGGGGGAUAACUACUCGAAAGAGUAGCUAAUACCGCAUGAAAUCUACGGAUGAAAGCAGGGGACCUUCUGGCCUUGUGCUACUACAGCGGCUGAUGGCACAUUAUGUAUUUGGUGGGGUAAAGGCUUACCAAGCCUGCAAUCUGUAUCUGGGCUGAGAGGACAACCACCCACACUGUGACUGAGACACGGCCCCCACUCCUACAGGAGGCACCACUGGGGAAUUUUGUACAAUGGGCGAAAGCCUGAUCCCCCAAUGCCGCGUGCGUGAUGAAAGCCCUCUCGUUGUAAACUGCUUUUGUACG
rnacentral:rRNA from 1 species